GUAACGGUUCGUUCCCCUUUUCCUAGCAGAGGAAAAAAAGCAAAGCUCAGUUUCAAGGAAAGCAGACUGGGAGGAGGAGGAAGCAGGACGCUGCCAGCCCAGGCCGGCUGGUUGCCUUCCAGGCUCCUAGAGCCCUCUGGAUUCCCUCUGGUGGAUUUGCUAAGGCUGGUUGUGCCAGGAACCCACGUGCAGGGACAGCUGAUUGGACCCACUGGCAUCAACGGACCUUUGGAGAAAACACAAUAGACUCAAGGAAACUAACAUCUGCCCCAGCGAAGGACUCAAGUUCUCGGGCUAUUAUUUGAAUUUGUGUGGGUUGUUUCAUUCUCCAUCUGAAACCAGGCCUCUUAGUAAAUCAAGGCAGAACUAUUUCUCUGAGGGAAUAGUGCACUUCAAAAAGUACCAUUUUGCUGGUGAUGGGAAAAUUGAUUAAAAGUUCCUAACUGACAGGGAGUCUUCAUAUCUACAAAGCACUAAAAGACCUCUCAUCUGGACACACUAAAUAAAGUAAAUGUUCCUGUAUUGAGUUUAAAGAUGCUUGCUAAGAUCAAAUGACUUUUCACCUAUCAAGACUCUGGCACUGUGUACCAUGGGGAAUUUAGAAAUUUGGUGCUGGUCAAUGCUAUGGCUAGUGAAUUUGUAUAACUGAGCAAUACCUGAAUCUAUCAGCAUGGUGAGGGUGACUCCUGAAAGGCAAGCUGUUUAAUAGACACCUCAUAGAAAUCUGAAGUAAUGUUAUGAAAGAAUGAAAAAUACAUUGGGGAACAGCUUGGAAAAUGAAGUACAUUUUGAUUUAACUUACAUUAACAGAAAUGUAAUGUAAAAGUGAAAGGAUCUAACAAAACCAUUAAUAAUUAAAAAAUAAUUACAGACAGUCUAUCCUUACUAUUCAUAACCACUCAACACUUUAAACAAAGAAAACGGAAUACUCUGAAUGGGAAUGAGAUGUGAGCAGACUGCUAAUGAGAAGUUAACCAAGGACUGUGCAUUUGUCAAAGGAGACGAGUUUCCUUGUUUCCCCCACCUGCAUAUUUUCAUUCUCUUGUAGUUAGCUUGGACCUUCAUCUUACAUCAGCACACAUACUGAGUGUCAGAGUUUAUAAAACCAAAAUCUCUUGAGCAAUAACAAUGCGGACCUUAUCAAGUUUUGAGGAUCAGGGGCACCAGAUGGCAUGUCUAUUAACCAUUCUCAUUCACAAAUAUUUAUAGGAGCCUAAGAGAUACAUGUCUCUGUAACAGAUUUUAGUUGGACAAUCCUAUCCCACAGGAUUUCACAAAACAAUGACCCCCUAAAGGCAGCAGUUUGUUCUCUCUCCCUGUUUGUGAUCACUUAAAAAAAUUAAUCAUCAUUUAAGGAUUCAUUGUCAAUCUUUUUCUUGUAUCGCUUACCGUAAGAGUUGUGUCCCUAUGUUUUAAAAAAUGUGAAUGUAUUUUUCUGUUACCUAAGUAGGGUUUCUUUUAUUUCCAAUGUACAUUUUUCAAUGUCCAAAGACUUUAGAGCAGUAUUCUACAUAUAAGUAUGCAGUAAACCCUUAAUCAUGCACUAGACCUUUAAAAAGGUGUUGGGAAGAAGGUACAGUGGCUCUAUUCUGAUUUUCACUGCAUAUUCUCCUUUAUUUUGUUUGAGAGACACAUGGGACUGCCCCUAGAGUGCUCUGUUGACGUUUGUUCGAGGCACUAGGAAGAAAUCAAAGCAGCCUGGCGGAAAGCAAACUUCACUGCCUCUUUUCAGAGAUAAAGGGAAAUCUUACAAAAGGAGAGAUUUGCAGAAUACAACUAGAAUCCAAUGAAGUCAUUGCUGAGCAUCUGCUGGGAAGCCACCAGGAAGUGGAGACCUAUAGCCCAUGUCAAAUCGUAUGCAUCUGAAGGAUCUGAAGCCUCUUUCCUUCCUCCCCCAUUCCCAGAUGAAUUAGAAACAAAACAGCAUGCCUUUUGUACGAAACAGAAAAACCUAAGGAGAAAUGCUAAUAGGUUGACUGCAAAGAUUAUAAAUACUUCUUAGCUAUAUAAAUAUGAAUUGAGUGCAUAAAACAUGUUAAAUUCCUUGUAGGCAUCCACUUUCAAAUUUUUUUAAACUGCAGCAGAAGGACCUUACAACAAUGACAACAAAUUCACCUUUAAGCAUCUAUCAUUUCAUGAAAUUGUAUAUAUAGCCUAUGAUUUGCCUGUAAAUCUCAUGUAUA